AUAAUAAAAUCAGGAAUAAAAAAAAAAAAGAAGAGCGGCCCGGGCCGCUCCAGCUCUCCUCCUCCCACCCCUCUGCCCACCCUCUCCCCCUCUCCCCGGCCCCCAGCCCCGAACCCCGCGCACCUCGUCAGGGGACGGGGCGCGGGGGGGGGGGGCGGGGGGGGGGUGGGCAGGGCCGCCUCUCCUCCCCGCCCCCUCCUCCUCCGGCCUCUGGAGCGAUUUGUCAAACUUCCCAUUCCGCCGGCAGCGCGGUCCUCCUCUUCCUCCUCCUCCUCCUCCUCCUCCUCCUUCUCUGCCUCCUCCUCCCCCCUGCGCUCCUCCCUCCGCGAGCCUCCCUCGCCCGCCCUCCUUCUUCCCUCCGCACGUUCGGGGUUCGCGGCGGAGCGCGGCGCGGGGGGGACGCAGAGAGCCUGGGCGCAGCAGCAUCCUGCGGGUGGCGGCUCUCCGGAGGAGGGGAGGCUGAGAGCAGGCCCGCCUCGUCCCCCCCGCGGGCCCGCCGCCCCUCCCUCCCUGUCCUCAGCCCGGCAGCGGCGGCGGCGGCAGUGGCAGUCGCCAGAGAAGCAUCAUGACGGGGAGGAAGCAGCAGGCGCCCCGGCGCAGCAGAUGGGAGGGCAUUCUCAGCACGUGGCUUUCGCUGUUAUGGCUGCACUGAAUAAAAGCAAGCAGCUCCAGCUGUCCGAGGCUGCUCUCUUUGGCCACUGGAGCUGGCAGCCCCCUAGCUGGUCUUACACUGUAUACCUGUGUCUGAGUACUCCUUUCAUCUGUCACUUGGCCAGGGUCUGUGGGACAGACCCAGCAACUCUGCAGGCUGGAAAGUGCAAGACCAAGUUGCGGACAGAUUUAGUGUCUGGUUAAAGCCCUCUUUCCGGUUGGCCAGUGGCUGUCUUUUUGUUUGGCUGAGCAUGGUGGCUCAUGCCUGUAGUCUCAGCACUUUGGGAGGCCGAGGUGGGAAGAUUACUUGAGCGUAGGAGUUUUAGACUAUCUCAGGCAACAUAGUGACACUCUGCCUCAAAAAAAAACAAAGAAGAAAAGAAGACAGGUAGAGAGAGAGAAGAAAGAAAUAAAGAAAGAAAGAGAAAGAAAGAAAAGAAAGAAAGAAAAAGAAAGAAAGAAAGAAGAAAGAAAAGAAAGAAAGAAAGAAGAAAGAAAAGAAGAAAAGAAAGAAAAGGUGAGAGGGUGGGAGGGAGGGAGGGAAGGAAGGAAGGGAGGGAGGGAGGGAGGGAGGGAAGGAGGGGAGGAAGGAAGGAAGGAAGGGAGGGAGGGAGGGAGGGAGGGAGGGAGGGAAGGAAGGAAGGAAGGAAGGAAGGAAGGAAGGAAGGAAGGAAAUCUCAACAAGGACAUUUUCCAGUCUGCCUUUCACAUCAGGAUUCUCAAGCACUUUACCAGAUUAUGCAUAGGGCCAUUUCACUGUUCACUGUAUUAGUUAUUCAAACAGAGCUUUGGGUAUGUCAAGGUACCUGCAGGGUACCAUCCAACAAAGCUCUGACAUCCCUAUGCAAAUAGUCAAACAAAUUUGUCCUUGGAAACUUUUUGGCUGCCACACAGUUCAGUCCCCAGGUAUUUGUCCUGGGGUCUCCCAUGUAAGCUAUUCUCUAGUAAGCCC
ensembl:lncRNA